rnacentral:rRNA from 1 species
GAUGAACGCUGGCGGCGUGCUUAACACAUGCCAGUCGAACGGAAAGGCCCAAGCUUGCUUGGGUACUCGAGUGGCGAACGGGUGAGUAACACGUGGGUGAUCUGCCCUGCACUUCGGGAUAAGCCUGGGAAACUGGGUCUAAUACCGGAUAGGACCACUUCUUGGAUGUUGUGGUGGAAAGUUUUUUCGGUGUGGGAUGAGCUCGCGGCCUAUCCGCUUGUUGGUGGGGUAAUGGCCUACCAAGGCGUCGACGGGUAGCCGGCCUGAGAGGGUGUACGGCCACAGUGGGACUGAGAGACGGCCCAGACUCCUACGGGAGGCAGCAGUGGGGAAGAUUGAACAAUGGGCGCAAGCCUGAUGCAGCGACGCCGCGUGGGGGAUGACGGCCUUCGGGUUGUAAACUCCUUUCGCUAGGGACGAAGCGUUUUGUGACGGUACCUGGAGAAGAAGCACCGGCUAACUACGUG